AGAGUUUGAUCCUGGCUCAGGAUGAACGCUAGCGGCAGGCUUAACACAUGCAAGUCGAGGGGCAGCGGGGAGGAAGCUUGCUUUCUCCGCCGGCGACCGGCGCACGGGUGAGUAACACGUAUGCAACCUGCCCCUGUCAGGGGGACAACCCGCCGAAAGGCGGGCUAAACCCGCGUACAUGCCACCGGGGCAUCCCGGAGGCAGGAAAGGCUUCGGCCGGACAGGGAUGGGCAUGCGGCGCAUUAGGCAGUAGGCGGGGUAACGGCCCACCUAACCGACGAUGCGUAGGGGUUCUGAGAGGAAGGUCCCCCACACUGGUACUGAGACACGGACCAGACUCCUACGGGAGGCAGCAGUGAGGAAUAUUGGUCAAUGGUCGGGAGACUGAACCAGCCAAGCCGCGUGAGGGAUGAAGGUACAGAGUAUCGUAAACCUCUUUUGUCAGGGAACAAAGGCGGGGACGCGUCCCCGGAUGAGUGUACCUGAAGAAAAAGCAUCGGCUAACUCCGUGCCAGCAGCCGCGGUAAUACGGAGGAUGCGAGCGUUAUCCGGAUUUAUUGGGUUUAAAGGGUGCGCAGGCGGUCUGUUAAGUCAGCGGUCAAAGCCCGGGGCUCAACCCCGGCCCGCCGUUGAAACUGGCAGUCUCGAGUUGGAGAGAAGUAUGCGGAAUGCGCGGUGUAGCGGUGAAAUGCAUAGAUAUCGCGCAGAACUCCGAUUGCGAAGGCAGCAUGCCGGCUCCACACUGACGCUGAGGCACGAAAGCGUGGGUAUCGAACAGGAUUAGAUACCCUGGUAGUCCACGCAGUAAACGAUGAAUGCUGGCUGUCCGGGGGGACUGACCCCUGGGUGGCGAAGCGAAAGCGAUAAGCAUUCCACCUGGGGAGUACGCCGGCAACGGUGAAACUCAAAGGAAUUGACGGGGGCCCGCACAAGCGGAGGAACAUGUGGUUUAAUUCGAUGAUACGCGAGGAACCUUACCCGGGCUCAAACGGGGAGUGACUCAGGCAGAGACGCCUGUUUCCCACGGGACACUCCCCGAGGUGCUGCAUGGUUGUCGUCAGCUCGUGCCGUGAGGUGUCGGCUUAAGUGCCAUAACGAGCGCAACCCCCGCGUGCAGUUGCUAACAGAUAACGCUGAGGACUCUGCACGGACUGCCGGCGCAAGCCGCGAGGAAGGCGGGGAUGACGUCAAAUCAGCGCGGCCCUUACGUCCGGGGCGACACACGUGUUACAAUGGGUGGUACAGCGGGAAGCCAGGCGGCGACGCCGAGCGGAACCCGAAAUCCACUCUCAGUUCGGAUCGGAGUCUGCAACCCGACUCCGUGAAGCUGGAUUCGCUAGUAAUCGCGCAUCAGCCAUGGCGCGGUGAAUACGUUCCCGGGCCUUGCACACACCGCCCGUCA
rnacentral:rRNA from 1 species